CGCGGUGGCGGUGGGGGCAUGCGUCCCCUCAACGAGCAUAGUCCUAGCUGGCCGGUCCUGGCCCGCUUGCGCAGAAAUAUCUUUAGUAUUCCGCGGGCGGCCGCUGAUCGCACUUGGUGCGGCCCGGAUGGCGACCGGGCCGGGAUUCAGGCAUAGCGAGUCGCACGACUGAUGGCUGAGAAAAGCUGUGCUGCGCUAACCACGUCAAAACGGUUGAGGGGAAAUCGACGGAUUCGUUAAUUUUAUCUCACGAAAUGAAGAGACCAUUCCCAUUUUGAAUGUGGUGCCAAAAGCUACGUCUCUGGUUGAUCGAAGGAACAUCCUACUGUUCUUCAUUUGAAUCAUCAAGUUCAAGCUCAAGUCAGUGGGAUGAUUAAUAAAUCUGAAGUAUUUCAAGUGUUGGAAUGGCAAGGACAUUAUUUUGACCACAUGUUUAUGAAUUUAUUUAAUAUGAAUAUGUACCUCUAUAUUUUUAAAUUUUAAACCCUCUCUAUGGGGGGCCACGUUUUCGACGUGAGAGGGAUUGUGAUGGAGCAAUAUGCUCCUGCUUCAGUGAUUGUGAAAGCUGUGCUGGUCUGGAGCUUCUCUUGCCAGAUUGGUUUCUUAUGAGAAGCCAGACAAAGCAGCCCCCCCUUUUUUAUUUACAAAACUAAAUUACAAAAUUUCCAGUAGUUCCCCAACUGCGUGAGGUUUGGUCUCGCAGAGGUGGGGGGGACGUUAUCGUCCUUAUUAUCAACCUUACUAUCAAACUGCGAGAAAUAAACAAGCGUGCGAAAAUGAACAAAAUGUGAAACUCUCUUAUCAAGUAUUUUUUGUAUUUAUGCAUGCGGCCCUCUGGCCGUAAAACUUUGAUAAUGUCUCUCUCUAUCUUAAGUAUAAGAAUAAGAAAAAACCCAAUGAAUGAAAAAUGCCUCCUACGUCUUAAAUGUAAAGAAUGAGCUGAAACUGAAACUCUGGGUUUGGGAUCUGUUGAGUGUGGAGCAGAACACAUCUGUCAGCUCUGCGCCCAUGUGAUUAGCGAUCUCCCUUCGUGAGAGUGACCUAAUUAUGUGUACUCUUUGCAUGGAUGUGUUUCUGUAAUAUUUGAUAGGUGCCUUCCCUAGUCUGGGAGGCGGAUCGUUUUGUUGCAGAGCCCAGAUCAUCGGGCGACUACACUCUUUGACACCUGAGUUGUGUAGCAUUAACGGUAGUUUGAACAGGCGAAUGUACCCCUCACGUUCUUAGCGGCCUGUAGCGUCACUAAGUUUAUUAAACAUUUAGAUCAAUCUAUAUUUUGAUUUUGUGCUUAUAAUAAAUUAAUAAAGUUUUAAAGUUUACCAUGUUCUCAA